rnacentral:rRNA from 1 species
CCUACGGGUGGCAGCAGUGAGGAAUAUUGGUCAAUGGACGAGAGUCUGAACCAGCCAAGUAGCGUGAAGGAUGACUGCCCUAUGGGUUGUAAACUUCUUUUAUAUGGGAAUAAAACAGGGUAUGCAUACCCUCUUGUAUGUACCAUAUGAAUAAGGAUCGGCUAACUCCGUGCCAGCAGCCGCGGUAAUACGGAAGGUCCGGGCGUUAUCCGGAUUUAUUGGGUUUAAAGGGAGCGUAGGCCGCAUGUCAAGCGUGCUGUGAAAUGUCCGGGCUCAACCCGGGCCUUGCAGCGCGAACUGGCGUGCUUGAGUCCGCGGAAAGCAGGCGGAAUUCGUCGUGUAGCGGUGAAAUGCUUAGAUAUGACGAAGAACCCCGAUUGCGAAGGCAGCUUGCUGCAGCGGAACUGACGCUGAUGCUCGAAAGCGCGGGUAUCGAACAGGAUUAGAUACCCCUGUAGUC